ensembl:lncRNA
UGCUCAUCAUUGACAUAUCAAAUUAUAGUAACUGUUCGCACUUAAAUGUCAGGCCACAUCAAAUCACUAAUGCUCACACGGUCGGUUCUGAUUGGAGGAAGCGCAUGCCGCUCAAUUCUGAUUGGCCAAUGGAAUCUUGGACCAAAAAGUUGAGCAGAGGUCAGAGUAAGAGGAGAUUUGUGGUCUGAUGUACCUGGCAAAAGCACAAGCAUCCCGCUGUGAGACGUCUGUGCACUCGCGUUCCCUCAGGUGACUCGCUCUCGUUUUAGAACAGACCGCAAUAAUUUAAUAACGUCACUGGAUUCGGUUAAAGAUAGCCUGUUUUUGGAAAUCUUGGAUAUUCUUGUGAUGAUUUAUGUAACAAAAACAAAAUGUUCAAGCACGUCAUAAAACUAUAAAUCACACAGAGCACAACAGCAGCUUUCUAGUUUCAAGAUUAAAAUAAAACGUAUAAAGAUAAAAUAACCUAUGCCUUUAUAAUCUAUUUCUGUACUAUAUAUAGCAAUAGCAACGCCCUGGCAACAGCAUGCUGCAGUAACAUACUAGCAACUGCAUAGCAACACCCUGGCAACAACCUGCUGCAGGAACUCCCUAGAAACUUUAUAUCAUCACCCUGACAACGACCUACCAAAGUAACUCCCUAGCAAGUGCAUAGCAACACACAGUGGCAAACACCUACUGUUGUAAAUCCCUAGCAAACUAUAUAGCAAUGUCCUAGCAACAACCUGCAGCAGUAACUCCCUAGCAACUGCUUAGCGACACCCUGUAAACAUCCCGCUGUAGUGACUCCCUAGCAACUGCAUCGCGACACCCUGUAAACGUCCCGCUGUAGUGACUCCCUAGCAACUGCAUAGCGACACCCUGUAAACGUCCCGCUGUAGUGACUCCCUAGCAACUGCAUAGCGACACCCUGUAAACGUCCCACUGUAGUAACUCCCUAGCAACUGCAUAGCGACACCCUGUAAACAUCCCGCUGUAGUAACUCCCUAGCAACUGCAUAGCGACACCCUGGCAACAUUCAAAUGAAGUAACUCCCUACCAACACUCUGGCAGUGACCCACUGUUGUAACUCCCUAGCAACUGCAUAGCAAUGCCCUGGCAACCGGCUACAGCAGUGACUCCCUAGCAACAUGCUAAAACCCACUCAAAACACUUUACCGACUGCAUAGCAACACCCUGGCAACCACUCAAAACACUGGCUGCUAUUUUCUGCAAAAAUGUGAAACUCUACAGUUUAAAUCAUCCAAAUGCUCUUGAGCAAAAAAAAGCAGAGCUCAAGUGAAUCAGCAUCAUGUCACCGCCGUUAAUAGACUCCAUCGAGCGCUAACAUGGUCAAGAUGGCACUGUUUUUUUCAGCUCGUCCUUUUUCCCUGAAUCCCGCCGGCUCCAUCGGACCCCCGGGCUUCCCUUACCUCCUCCUCCCUCCCAGGGCCGUGCGUGACAGUAGCUCGCUGAAAAGUGGAAAUGAUUCUAGUAAACAGUGAUUAGCUCCAGACCGGGAUCGGCUCGUCCGCCGUGAGACCUGCAUCCACACGCUGGCGGCUGCCAAGUCCUCAACCUUCCCGACCCUCCGGGGUCACGGCCAGCCUUUCACAGCCAGGUUAAAGAGAAUAAUGGCAGGCAAACACGACAGCCUCACGCAACACACACACUGCGAAGCUGGCUCUGAUUAGUGCGGACGCUGAUGUGAGAGACCAUAUGUGAAUCACGGGAUUCCAGAGGACUCUCCUGUACGGAAAAACGUGAUGGGAUUUUGGCAGCGCUGAGCUCUGAUAGUAACACUGCAAAACCGGGGCUACAAACCCAGAGCGGU